UACGUAGGGGGCAAGCGUUGUCCGGAAUCAUUGGGCGUAAAGAGCGUGUAGGCGGCUCGAUAAGUCUGCUGUGAAAGUCCAGGGCUCAACCCUGGAAUGCCGGUGGAUACUGUCGGGCUAGAGUCCGGAAGGGGCGAGUGGAAUUCCUGGUGUAGCGGUGAAAUGCGCAGAUAUCAGGAGGAACACCAAUGGCGAAGGCAGCUCGCUGGGACGUGACUGACGCUGAGACGCGAAAGCGUGGGGAGCAAACAGG
rnacentral:rRNA from 1 species